CUCAUGGUAGAUGACAAGGAAAAGAACAUGAAAUGUCUCACCUUCUUCUUGAUGCUUCCAGAGACAGUCAAGAACAGGUCCAAGAAGAGCUCGAAGAAAGCCAGCCCCACGACCAGCGGCAGCAGCAAGUUGCCCCCAGUUUGCUAUGAAAUUAUCACCUUAAAGACUAAAAAGAAGAAGAAGAUGGCUGCUGAUAUAUUCCCUCGUAAAAAACCAGCCAGCUCCAGCAACACCACUGUCCAGCAGUACCACCAGCAGAAUCUCAGCAACAACAACCUUAUUCCAGCCCCAAACUGGCAGGGCCUAUAUCCCACCAUCAGGGAGAGAAAUGCGGUGAUGUUCAAUAAUGACUUGAUGGCAGAUGUUCAUUUUGUGGUUGGGCCACCAGGUGGGACUCAGCGGUUGCCAGGACACAAAUAUGUUUUAGCUGUUGGGAGCUCUGUGUUCCAUGCAAUGUUUUAUGGAGAACUUGCCGAGGACAAAGAUGAAAUCCGUAUACCAGAUGUCGAACCUGCUGCUUUUCUCGCCAUGCUGAAAUACAUCUAUUGUGAUGAAAUUGACUUGGCUGCUGACACAGUGCUGGCCACUCUCUAUGCUGCCAAAAAGUACAUCGUCCCGCACCUUGCCAGAGCCUGCGUUAAUUUCCUGGAAACCAGCCUGAGCGCCAAGAACGCCUGCGUGCUGCUCUCCCAGAGCUGCCUCUUUGAGGAGCCGGACCUGACCCAGCGCUGCUGGGAGGUGAUCGAUGCCCAGGCCGAGUUGGCCCUCAAGUCCGAGGGGUUCUGUGACAUUGACUUCCAGACUCUAGAAAGCAUCCUCCGCAGGGAAACUCUGAAUGCCAAAGAAAUUGUGGUUUUUGAGGCAGCCCUCAACUGGGCUGAAGUCGAAUGCCAGCGACAAGAUCUAGCCUUGAGCAUUGAAAACAAACGUAAGGUCCUUGGCAAGGCCCUCUACCUGAUCCGGAUACCGACCAUGGCCCCUGGACGAUUUCACCAACGGCGCCGUGCAGUCGGGCGUCCUCACCCUCAACGAGACCAACGACAUCUUCCUCUGGUACACCGCGGCCAAGAAGCCAGAGCUGCAGUUCGUGAGCAAAGCCCGCAAGGGCCUCGUGCCCCAGCGCUGCCACCGCUUCCAGUCCUGUGCCUACCGGAGCAACCAGUGGCGCUACCGGGGACGCUGCGACAGCAUCCAGUUCGCGGUGGACAAGAGGGUGUUCAUCGCGGGCUUCGGCCUGUACGGCUCGAGCUGCGGCUCAGCCGAGUACAGCGCCAAGAUCGAACUCAAGCGCCAGGGCGUUGUCCUGGGCCAGAACUUGAGCAAGUACUUCUCCGACGGCUCCAGCAACACGUUCCCGGUGUGGUUCGAGUACCCGGUGCAGAUCGAGCCGGACACCUUCUACACGGCCAGCGUCAUCCUCGACGGCAACGAACUCAGCUACUUCGGCCAGGAAGGCAUGACGGAGGUGCAGUGUGGCAAAGUGACAGUGCAGUUCCAGUGCUCCUCGGACAGCACCAACGGCACCGGGGUGCAGGGCGGCCAGAUCCCCGAGCUCAUCUUCUACGCUUGAAAAGGCUUCUCUGCAAGCAGGGGAGCCCUCGAGGGGCACAGCCGGUUCCACCUUGCCGGAU